GUCCACCACCAGGUCACCGCCCACUCGGUGCAUCUCUCCCUACUGCAGGGAGACAAGCCUGAGCCACGAGCGUUCGCGAGGCCGCCUGUGAGGGGACCUGACCAUUCUCCGGGGCUCCUGUGGGCACCGGAACGGAUGUGAAGGGGUCACUUUGCGAUUUCGCCUCCCACCGGCCGCCUCCUGGCAUCUGCAUAGCAUCGUUUGGCGCCGCUUCAGGCACCCCGUCUCCGCGGCUCCAGUACUAGAGAGUGUAGUUUCGAGAUGUGUGGCGUGACCAACUCAUUCCACCCUUCCGUACAACGAUAACUGAUGUGGGUUGACAUCAGCAAGAUGGUGCAAUAGGAAGUGCCAGCCCUUAUACGCCCCACAGAAACACCUGUUUCAACAACCACUCAUGGAUGAGGCUUCCUUGUGGGAGUCUGGAAGUAAAACUGAGAGGUUUCAGCUCCCAGGUGGAGCAAAGUCGUCCAAGACUAGAUGCACUGAAGAAGGUUUCACAUUGCCCGUGUCACCCCACUCCCAAGGUGGCACAACAUUGGCAUCUCUGGGAGCUUGGUAGAAAGCAGAAUCUCAGGUCCCACCCCAGACCUGCUAAAUCAGAGCCUGCAGUUUCACAAGAUCCCCAGGGAAUUGCAUGCACGCUGUGAGAAGUGCUGCAUUAUCCUACAUUUAGCAAUCCAUGAAUGAUGUUUUGCAUUUGUCUGUGUGUUAUUUAAAAUUUAUGUAAGUGAUAUCAUACUACACAUACCAUUUAACAACUACCUUUUUUCUUUCAACAAGUUCUGUUUGAGAACUAACAAUGCUAAUAUAGAUCUAGUACAUUCUCUUUUAAUUUGUUGAAGAAAAGUCACACUUAUGUUGCUGAUAAUGAAAUCUAUUAUUAAAUCAGUCUGUUAGUGGCA